rnacentral:rRNA from 1 species
UACGGAGGGUGCAAGCGUUGUUCGGAAUUAUUGGGCGUAAAGCGCGCGCAGGCGGCUUUUUAAGUCUGAUGUGAAAACCCUCGGCUCAACCGAGGACGUGCAUUGGAUACUGGAAGGCUUGAGUCUCGGAGAGGAAAGCGGAAUUCCCAGUGUAGAGGUGAAAUUCGUAGAUAUUGGGAGGAACACCGGUGGCGAAGGCGGCUUUCUGGACGAUGACUGACGCUGAGGCGCGAAAGCGUGGGUAGCAAACAGG